AUUGAACGCUGGCGGCAUGCCUUACACAUGCAAGUCGAACGGCAGCACGGGAGCAAUCCUGGUGGCGAGUGGCGAACGGGUGAGUAAUAUAUCGGAACGUGCCCAGUCGUGGGGAUAACGUAGCGAAAGCUACGCUAAUACCGCAUACGAUCUAUGGAUGAAAGCGGGGGAUCGCAAGACCUCGCGCGAUUGGAGCGGCCGAUAUCAGAUUAGGUAGUUGGUGAGGUAAAGGCUCACCAAGCCGACGAUCUGUAGCUGGUCUGAGAGGACGACCAGCCACACUGGGACUGAGACACGGUCCAGACUCCUACGGGAGGCAGCAGUGGGGAAUUUUGGACAAUGGACGCAAGUCUGAUCCAGCCAUUCCGCGUGCAGGAUGAAGGCCCUCGGGUUGUAACUGCUUUGUACGGAACGAAAAGGUUUGUCUUAAUACGAUGAGCUCAUGACGUACCGUAAGAAUAAGC
rnacentral:rRNA from 1 species